rnacentral:rRNA from 1 species
CACGCCCUAAACGAUCUUUUCUAGCUAUAAGGAGUAUCGACCCUCUUUGUGGCACAGCUAACGCGUUAAGAAAAGCGCCUGGGAAGUACGGCCGCAAGGCUAAAACUCAAAGGAAUAGACGGGGACUCGCACAAGCAGUGGAUUAUGUGGUUUAAUUCGAUGGUAAACGAAGAACCUCACCAAGAUUAGAAAUCAACUUGACCGCCCGGAGAAACUCGGGCCUUCGCAAGACAAGUUGACAGGUGA